ACUUUCCAUUCAUGCACUUGCAUGUACUAGUUUUGUCCCUGUUUCUUUUUCUACCUUGGGGGCACCUUGCCGUCCAUUUGGCUUCUAGAGUUGGACAGACGAGAGCGUUACGUCUCUGUCAAGGAGGGCGUAUACAACGUCACAGCCACUGACUCACUGGCAGAGAUUUAUCCGGGGGUUAGUUUCAAUACCCAUUUCGUUACCCGCUGACACUUGGGUAUUGUUAAUCGAGCAGUUCUUACUGUAUUUUAUGAUUGUUGGGAGAUGGCUUUUGCCGCGCGGAACCAUUUCACGAAACGAGCUCUCCCAGCUUCUGUUUGUUUUCAUCGGAAUAGCUUCAGACAUCACAGAGUUUUUCACCUUAUUUGACGAGGAUGUUGUUCGUAAAAACCUUGAGUUGACCUAUGCCAUCUUGAUUAUCUGGACUGUCAGCUUGUUGCAGUUUUGUUUCGUGUUAACUGCGACGAGAAAUUCAAACAAGCCCCGAGUCGCUCUGAUCAAUUCUGACAGAGAAUCGCCAGAAAGCAUCCAGGCACAAAGAAGAAAAGGUGGUUGCGAAAAAUGUGUUUCUAGUGAAGUAUGGAGCACAAUGGUGACGAUGUGUAUGCAAGAUGGCCCAUUCCUUGCCAUACGAUUGUACGUUAUCAUCACUUAUCAUCUUGUCAACUACGCAAUUAUAUUCUUUACUGCUAAAAACGCUUUGGUGAUGUUACUUUUGCUUUACCGUUUGGUCGUCAUCUGUAGUCAGAAAAAUCCGGAAAACGUCCCAUCCAGUUUUGACUUGAGUUUUAGUGUGACGGAUCCGACUCCUCUUUCUGACUAUAAUAUGACGUCAUCACAUGUUUCAUCGGAUGCUUUGCAGUCUGAUCAUGACAUGAAGGAAGAUACUUUAAACUAUAACAGCGGAAACCGGGUUCACGAAUAUCGAAAUAAUAAUAGACAAAAAUACGAGGCUUGAAAACCUAACGUUUUGAAAUUAAAAUUAUAUUAGGGGCAAUAGCUUACCUUAGCUGAAGGUUCAAAAUUAUUGGUCCGACGUUUGUUGUUGUCAUCAUCGUGCGUGUGAUUUGGGUCGACAAUGCAGGAAAAUUGUUAGUUCUAGUAGCACUGGGGUCGUAGUUUUAAACUCGUGAACAUACGAAUUUUAGCAUACAUGUUGAAAACAUGUUGUGACAUGGCAUGGUCACAAUGGUAGUUAUAUCAGGUGAUAAAUAGGAAAAGAUGCCAAACCCUUGGAAAUGUACUCGGGUCAGUGUUGUCGCCUAUAGGCAUUUUGUUUGGUAUAGUUUUAUGUUUAGAUGAUAAGUUAAGUGUGGAAUAUUCAUAUCUGUAUUUCUAUGCAAAUCACUGUCUGAACACAAUUAUUUAUUGAAUUUAGUGUACUUGUGUAUAUUUUUUCAUGUUAUAUGUGUCAAAAGAAUUUCAGUUGAUUCGCAUUUUAUUUGUUAUUACAUGUACUUUUCAUGAAAUUUCCUAGACAUAACAAUGAAUUGGAGUGAAAUAAAAUUAUACUCAAUUU
rnacentral:misc_RNA from 1 species